ensembl:lncRNA
CUCAAGUGUAUAUCCUUGGGAAAAAAGUACAUAAAAACCGUAAGGGGUGCGCUGACCUUCGGAGACUUCUGCCCGGACUCUGGCUACUACAUUGCUCGUGACGGUAACACACCUGCCCUAUGCUCCCAGGUUAUGUUUGGCAGGGUGUAUUUCAUACCUGGAAACAAGCUGAACCGGGUCCUCUCAAUCUCAGAACUCGUCUAUGACCAUGACAGAUCGGAGACUGAGGCAAAGCUCUUUGACAGUAAACACAUGCCCUAUUUCUACAAGGCAGCGUGUCUGGAUAUCGAGACUGUAUUUGACAAAUCGUACAGAGAUAAGUCCCUACGUUGCGAGUCUUUCUCCUACAGGGAGCCCUACUGUACGGAGCAAAUUAUUGCGGACAUGACAACGUGCAGGAAUAACAUGGUCUGUAAGUUAAACACGAGCAGGAAGCAAUUUCCCGGACAGAGUAAGAACGUAUCAAUCCCUGCUCCUGCUCUCGACAUGCCAGGCCAGCAGCACGAGAUAACCUGCGUGUCUCUCGUGAUCCUGAACUCCCAUAUACCCAAGACCUCACAUGAACAUCACAGGAAGAAGCUCAUAGUUCUCUUUAACAAAUGUAAGGUAACUCACAACAGCCCUGAGCCAAAAGCAGACCAUGAUCUUGCCAAGCGCGCAGGAAUAGACAAUGUUUCAAGGAUUCGAUUUUACUCGUGCUCCGGUGAACUCAAACUCUUGGAGACAAUGAUCCAACUGUUACAUCACUACGGUAUAGAACUCCUGUACGUGUAUAACGCUGAGUUUGACAUCCGGGUGAUCGAGCAGCGGGUCCAUUUCUACGCGGACCCAAACUACACCAAGCGCUUACACGGAGCUACCAAGCAACGGUGUGUCUCAUUGUUGCGAGACUGGAACGGACUCUUUGUGACCAGGGCCCUGGCAGAGGACGUGGAACCUUUCUUCCAGUUUGAAAAUGUUCGUUACCUGAAAAUGUACAAGGAGAUGCUCGGUAGCAUAAAUCCGUUGUUGCAUAAAGGGACCCUGACCGAGUACAAGCUCCGCAUGAUAUCUGUGCACAUUGACAAGUUCAACAAAGAGAAAGCAAAGUUGGGGCACUUUAAAAUGAACAGCUGCGGUAUGAACAUCGUAGAUCUGUACAGGAUGGCUGGGACCAGAGAGAUAAAGUUUGCGUGCACCAGCAUGAAGUUGAAUGACGUGGCACCGUUUGUCAUCACCAAGGUGAGGGAGCUGCACAGGAAGCCCCCAAAGGAACCCAGAAAGCUUUGCAAGCUGGCAGACGUAGGUUAUUCUAAAAUGGACGAGAUGAUGACAAUGGGAGCAAAGAGUCUCUUCGCAGUGCUCGUCUACAACUUGGUAGACUCGCAGCUGUGCGCUAGGCUGGCUAAAGUCCUCAAUCCCGUAUCUGCUCUGUUCCAUCGAUGUAGGACCACUCUCAAUAUAGACGUGGUGGUACACGGGCGUGGGGAUAAUUUUGGUGGCUUCGUGCAGAGUAUUCACUCGGUUCAGAUCCCUCAACUCAAGUUUACACUCGAUACUCUCAGAGUGAAAGCUGGACCUGUGGGUAUGACAUUAAACAGCCGCCUGCGAUGGGAUCCUAAGCUCAACUCUGACAACGGAGAAAGCGAGAAGUGGAAAGGGGGCGCCGUGUGCGAUCCUCUCACGGGCCUACACUACUCAGGACCCGGGAUGGGCCUGGAGCUCGCGUUUGACUUCUCAAGUAUGUAUCCAUCCAUCAUGUGUGCUCUCAAUAUCUCCCCUGAGACCACCAUCCCCUGGCCUCCCGUGAAUUUUCCCCACGAUCUAUCCGGUUGGGUGUGUUACAACUGGGAAGCUGAAGGGUUUGAGUACGCAACGCUCAUUCUCAAGUACGAAAAGGACCAGGGUGCUUUUGUCCGUGCUCCGGCCAUAUUAUCUUCCUCGGUGGAGUACUAUCUCAACCAGCGAACCGAGUUCAAGAUGAAACUCAAGAACCCUGACAUUAGCGAGGCUGAGCGGGCGUACUACAAGACGC